AAAAUCCCAUCUCACGUACAGACCACAGACUGAAGUUUUACAUUCUGUAAGGUAAGUUAUGAUGAUUGUCAAAAAGUUGGACCGCAAAUUGGAAAAUAAUAAUAAGAAAAACAGAGUUAGAUGAUCAAGAGGAACCAAAUUCUAAAGCUUCGCAGUCUGGGGUCUCUAAGACAUCAUCAAACAAAAUCAGGAGUAAUAUGUUCAAAGAAGUCUGCAAAUAAAUACUCAAGGACACUGUAAUUGUGGAAAUUCAUAGAGCAUUGCACGCAUGAAAAAAGAA